CCAAUCGAAUUGUUCUGGGUGUAAAUAAGUGUUGUCAUAUCAAAUAUGGGAGAUCUGUCACAUUACAGUCUUUGUAGUAGAGUAAGAAUGGAAAUGAGUGUCAGGUGAUACUGAAGUAUUUUAUUAAAAAAUUGCCAAACACUUAAAGAGUUUUAAGAAAGCAAGGAUGGUAAAUUUAAUUUAACUUUGAAAUAUUGCACAGAAUGCAUCAAGAAGUCCCCUUAUAAUUACACUUUACUAUUGGAUUUAGUUCUAAAUAGAACACUAGAACAAAAUAAAACCUUUAUUCUAAAAACAAUUCUGUACUUUUAGCAGUGUAGCAAUUGAAUAGUUUUUUCUCUUUUUAUCUAUUUUAGUCAUCGAGUGAAUCUCUCUAACCUGCUAAAAAGUCAUCAUUUACUAACCCUCAUUUUCUUCCAAACGAUGAGUUUAUUUCUUCUGUUAAACACAAAAGAAGAUGUUUUGAAGAGAGUUGGUAAACAAACAGUUGACGACAGCCAAUGUACAGAUCAUAAAGCAUAUGUAAAUAUAUGAAUGUAUGUGUUUGUUAUUAAAAUGCAACAUUACUUUGGGUCU